CUAAGUUGAUCGUGUUUAUGACGUCGAAUAUCGACGUCAUAAACACCAAAGUUGAUCGUGUUUAUGACGUCGAAUAUCGACGUCAUAAACACCAAAG